AACGAACGCUGGCGGCAUGCCUAACACAUGCAAGUCGAACGAGACCUUCGGGUCUAGUGGCGCACGGGUGCGUAACGCGUGGGAACCUGCCCUUAGGUUCGGAAUAACUCCCCGAAAGGGGUGCUAAUACGGGAUAGUGUCUUCGGACCAAAGAUUUAUCGCCUUUGGAUGGGGCCGCGUUGGAUUAGCUAGUUGGUAGGGUAAAAGCCUAACAAGGCGACGAUUCAUAGCUGGUCUGGGAGGAUGAUCAGCCACACUGGGACUGAGACACGGCCCAGACUCCUACGGGAGGCAGCAGUGGGGAAUAUUGGACAAUGGGCGAAAGCCUGAUCCAGCAAUGCCGCGUGAGUGAUGAAGGCCUUAGGGUUGUAAAGCUCUUUUAACCGGGAUGAUAAUGACAGUACCGGGAGAAUAAGCUCCGGCUAACUCCGUG
rnacentral:rRNA from 1 species